rnacentral:lncRNA from 1 species
CCAGAAGACUGAACCCACGUGCGGGUCUGAGAGUAACCAGCCCGGACCCACAGCUGGCGGGUUGCUGUCUAAGGGGCAGGAGAGCUGCUUCCUGCGGCCCCAGCUGUGCCCUCUGGCAAGCCAGCUCUGGGCUCAGCAGCCUCGCUCCCCACUCCAAAAGCCCGAGGAGGGCCGGGGCGACUCACCCAGAGCCGUCACCCUCCUAGGCAGAGCCGUGUUUUCUGGAGAGACUCUUCACAGCUUUCCCAUCCCCCCUGGUGGCCGUGACAGCCGGGCCUGAGGCCGGUGGACCUGGAGGGCGGUCACUGCAGUGAGAUCUGGCCUCAGUGUCUCCACCGGGACCUCAGGACCCACCACCACCUGCCGAGCUGCACCUUCCCUCCAAGGGGGGCAGCGGGAGGGGACGGUGAUGCUAUCUGCACCACCCUGCUCCUGGCUGCCGGGGCCGUUUGCCCCCAUCAUACACUGUCAGAUUCAGCGGAGCAGGGCGGGCCCAGGACGCUUGUGUGCUGACUCCACUGUGUGUGUCUGCGUGCUCGGGGCUCCGGGGAGGGGUGUUUCUGAGACCUCCCGGGUGCCUCAUCUUCCUCUCUCCCUGGGCCCGGCCUGGAUGCGGAUUGCUGUGCUCCUCAUGGACCAGAUUGACAUUCACAGCAACCUGGUCUCCAUAGCAACCUACCGUGACAUCGCAAGGAGCCUAGGACCCUUCGCUGGCAGAGGAAGGAUGAAGCUGGGCAACAAGGAUGACAGAGGCCUUUCUUACAGAGGGAUGCUCACGUGCCGGGCAGUUUUGGGGUGCCUCGUGUGGAUUUGCUCAUUUACGUCAAAACAACCCAAUAAAUUAUUUUCCUCUUAGUACUCCCCCUUUUAUAAGCAGAGGAAAAUGAAGCUCAGCAAAG